GAUGAACGCUGGCGGCGUGCCUAAUACAUGCAAGUCGAGCGAACAGACGCGGAGCUUGCUCCUCUGACGUUAGCGGCGGACGGGUGAGUAACACGUGGAUAACCUACCUAUAAGACUGGGAUAACUUCGGGAAACCGGCGCUAAUACCGGAUAAUAUAUUGAACCGCAUUGUUCAAUAGUGAAAGACGGUUUUGCUGUCACUUAUCGAUGGAUCCGCGCCGCAUUAGCUAGUUGGUAAGGUAACGGCUUACCAAGGCAACGAUGCGUAGCCGACCGGAGAGGGGGAUCGGCCACACGGGAACUGAGACAGGGUCAAGACUCCUACGGGAGGCAGCAGUAGGGAAUCGUACGCAAUGGGCGAAAGCUUGACGGAGCAACGCCGAGUGAGUGAUGAAGGUCUUCGGAGCGUAAAACUCUGUUAUUAGGGAAGAACAAAUGUGUAAGGAAAUAUGCACGUCUUGACGGUAACUAAUCAGAAAGCCACGGCUAACUACGUG
rnacentral:rRNA from 1 species